GCCAGAGUGGUAUAGUGGUUUAAGUGUUGGGCUAGGACUCUGGAGAUCAGGGUUCAAAUUCCCGCUCAGCCA